rnacentral:lncRNA from 1 species
AUUGACGUGGCAAGGCUGGAUGGCUCAGAUGUGAGGGCGCAGCGUGUGUCCAAGUCAAACGCGUGACAUUAUGAAUUAAAACAAGUAAACACAAUGGAUGACCAGGAUUAAAACGUGGCAAGGCGAUCCAAGGGCUAGGAAGCAAGACACGUUGUGGUGAUGGUGGAAACCACCGUCUUCUCCGGCGAACCAACGGAAUCCGGCCACCAGUUGCAG